CACAGCCCCAGAAAGUACUGACUGGUCUAAUAUCUUCCAUAGGAUCAACUGUCCCAGAACAUGAAACAGGGACAGAAUGGAAUCCAGCUCAUCAAGUUGUAUGAAUUUAGUGAGCUACGGCAUGGAAAGAAUUUAGCACAAAGCAUGGAGCCUGGUAACCAUGGCUGAGGUUCAAGGUACUUUGUUGGUAACUGUGACUCCACACUUCUGCUGCUGUGCGACCGACUGUGUAUGGGAAGAUGUUUGUCCCGGAUGAGUUA